GACGAACGCUGGCGGCGUGCUUAACACAUGUAAGUCGAACGGUAAGGCCCUUCGGGGUACACGAGUGGCGAACGGGUGAGUAACACGUGGGUGAUCUGCCCUGCACUUCGGGAUAAGCCUGGGAAACUGGGUCUAAUACCGGAUACGACCUCUGCCUGCAUGGGUGGUGGUGGAAAGCUUUUGCGGUGUGGGAGGGGCCCGCGGCCUAUCAGGUUGUUGGUGGGGUGAUGGCCUACCAAGGCGACGACGGGUAGCCGGCCUGGGAGGGUGACCGGCCACACUGGGACUGAGAUACGGCCCAGACUCCUACGGGAGGCAGCAGUGGGGAAUAUUGCACAAUGGGCGCAAGCCUGAUGCAGCGACGCCGCGUGAGGGAUGACGGCCUUCGGGUUGUAAACCUCUUUCAGCACCGACGAAGCGCAAGUGACGGUAGGUGCAGAAGAAGGACCGGCCAACUACGUGCCAGCCGCCGCGGUAA
rnacentral:rRNA from 1 species